UACAGAGGGUGCGAGCGUUAAUCGGAAUUACUGGGCGUAAAGCGCGCGUAGGCGGCUUUGCAAGUCGAGUGUGAAAUCCCCAGGCUUAACCUGGGAACUGCAUUCGAGACUGCAUAGCUAGAGUAUGGGAGAGGGAAGUGGAAUUUCAGGUGUAGCGGUGAAAUGCGUAGAUAUCUGAAGGAACAUCAGUGGCGAAAGCGACUUCCUGGACCAAUACUGACGCUGAGGAGCGAAAGCGUGGGGAGCGAACAGG
rnacentral:rRNA from 1 species